GGUUCCUACGGGGGGCAGCAGUGGGGAAUAUUGCACAAUGGGGGAAACCCUGAUGCAGCGACGCCGCGUGAGUGAAGAAGUAUUUCGGUAUGUAAAGCUCUAUCAGCAGGGAAGAUAAUGACGGUACCUGUGUAAGAAGCCCCGGCUAACUACGUGCCAGCAGCCGCGGUAAUACGUAGGGGGCAAGCGUUAUCCGGAUUUACUGGGUGUUAAGGGAGCGUAGACGGCUGAGAAAGUCUGAAG
rnacentral:rRNA from 1 species